rnacentral:rRNA from 1 species
GAUGAACGCUAGCUACAGGCUUAACACAUGCAAGUCGAGGGGCAGCAUGAUCGAAGCUUGCUUUGAUUGAUGGCGACCGGCGCACGGGUGAGUAACGCGUAUCCAACCUUCCCUAUAGUAGAGAAUAGCCCGGUGAAAAUCGGAUUAAUGCUCUAUGUUAUUCAAUGCGGACAUCUAAGUUGAAUCAAAGGUUUACCGCUAUAGGAUGGGGAUGCGUCUGAUUAGGUUGUUGGCGGGGUAACGGCCCACCAAGCCUACGAUCAGUAGGGGUUCUGAGAGGAAGGUCCCCCACAUUGGAACUGAGACACGGUCCAAACUCC